AUUCUUCUCCAACAAAAUGGAACCACAUGAUCAAUCAGAGUAUGUUAUGCCGCUGGUUCUAUCUGCUUCUAGGCAUGACAGCAACAAUUGGUGAGAUUUUCUCCUUGUUGUUCAUCUCUUAUAUAUCCCCUUGCUGAUCUCAUCAAAUCACAGGACCUCAAGGAAUUCCUCAUGAUAAUCCCUAAUGUACAGAGAUGAGGUUGUGCUUCCUAUUGAACUCCAUGCAGUGAUAUUCCUCGCUUCUUAUUGUGGUUUGCCGCCAUUGCUACUACUGCUGUGCAGCAUGUACCCUGGCUGCGAUGAAUCCGUUAUGCCACUGCACAUAUUUUCCCGUUGCUGGAAUCCAGGAAUCAUUUGCAUUGUGCUGCGGUAAGGGUCAUGGUUUUCUCUGUUUUUGCUGAGAAACUCAUGUUCAUCAUGUCCCCUCCUUGUUGUGACCUUUCAAGGAAAUACCAUGCUGCUGCAGUGCUUCAUGGAGGCCAUCUCAAUGUGCCAUGUCGCCUUUCGAAACCAGCAGUGUAUCCCAUCGAGUGAUGACCGUUUUGCUGUCCAUCAUUGGCGUUGGUCGCCAUGGAGGUCAUGUCCAGCAAUCAUGAACCUUGAUGUGAGUCCCUCCCCCCAGUCUCAAUCUUGUAUACAUAUUAUUUUCCAUAAAUCAUGAGUCAUAGUCCAAGUUUGAUCAAAUUCUGUCAAAGUUUUCCCGCAAUCGUGUUGCUGUCCUUUUUGGACAACAGUGUUAUUGCCGGUCA